GGAGAGGUGCCGGAGUGGUCGAACGGUCCUGAUUCGAAAUCAGGUGUACUGCCUGCAGUACCGAGGGUUCGAAUCCCUCCCUCUCCG
rnacentral:tRNA from 1 species